GUGCUUGCUUCAGCAGCACAUAUGCUAAAAUUGGAAUGAUACAGAGAAGAUUAGCAUGGCCCCUGCACAAGGAUGGAACGCAAAUUAGUGAAGUAUUCUAUGUUUUU
rnacentral:snRNA from 1 species